rnacentral:rRNA from 1 species
AGCAGCCGCGGUAAUUCCAGCUCCAAUAGCGUAUAUUAAAGUUGUUGCAGUUAAAAAGCUCGUAGUUGAAUUUCGGGGUUAGUAGGUUGGUCGUGCCACUGGUAUGUACUGGUUCUACUGAUCCCUCCUUCUUGUAGAACCGUAAUGCCAUUCACUUGGUGUUGCGGGGAAACAGGACUGUUACUUUGAAAAAAUUAGAGUGUUUAAAGCAGGCUAACGCUUGAAUACAUUAGCAUGGAAUAAUGAAAUAGGACGUUCGAUCCUAUUUUGUUGGUUUCUAGGAUUGACGUAAUGAUUAAUAGGGAUAGUUGGGGGCAUUAGUAUUCAAUUGUCAGAGGUGAAAUUCUUGGAUUUAUUGAAGACUAACUACUGCGAAAGCAUUUGCCAAGGAUGUUUUCAUUAAUCAAGAACGAAAGUUAGGGGAUCGAAGACGAUCAGAUACCGUCGUAGUCUUAACCAUAAACUAUGCCGACUAGGGAUCGGAUGAUGUUAAUUUUUAAUGACUCAUUCGGCGCCUUAC